rnacentral:rRNA from 1 species
AGAAUCAACGCUGGCGGCGUGCCUAACACAUGCAAGUCGAACGAGAAAGUGGAGCAAUCCAUGAGUAAAGUGGCGCACGGGUGAGUAACACGUGACUAACCUACCCUUGAGUGGGGGAUAACCUAGGGAACCUGGGCUAAUACCGCAUAAUACCUUCGGGUCAAAGGAGCAAUUCGCUUAAGGAGGGGGUCGCGGCCGAUUAGUUAGUUGGCGGGGUAAUGGCCCACCAAGACGAUGAUCGGUAUCCGGCCUGAGAGGGCGCACGGACACACUGGAACUGAAACACGGUCCAGACUCCUACGGGAGGCAGCAGUGGGGAAUUUUGCGCAAUGGGGGAAACCCUGACGCAGCAACGCCGCGUGGAGGAUGAAGUCCCUUGGGACGUAAACUCCUUUCGAUCGGGACGAUAAUGACGGUACCGGAAGAAGAAGCCCCGGCUAACUUCGCGCCAGCAGCCGC